GACGAACCGUGCGAACGUUGUUCGGAUUCACUGGGCUUAAAGGGCGCGUAGGCGGCGGCUCAAGUCGGGGGUGAAAUCCUCUCGCUUAACGAGAGAAUUGCUUUCGAUACUGGGUCGCUGGAGGGAGAUAGGGGUGCGCGGAACUUCCGGUGGAGCGGUGAAAUGCGUAGAGAUCGGAAGGAACGUCAAUGGCGAAGGCAGCCACCUG
rnacentral:rRNA from 1 species